UACGUAGGGGGCUAGCGUUGUCCGGAAUUAUUGGGCGUAAAGAGCUCGUAGGCGGUUUGUCGCGUCUGCUGUGAAAACUCGAGGCUCAACCUCGGGCUUGCAGUGGGUACGGGCAGACUAGAGUGCGGUAGGGGUGACUGGAAUUCCUGGUGUAGCGGUGGAAUGCGCAGAUAUCGGGGAGGAACACCAGUAGCGAAGGCGGCACUCUGGGCCGGUACUGACGCUGAGGAGCGAAAGCGUGGGGAGCCGAACGAGG
rnacentral:rRNA from 1 species